GCCCUGGUAGCUCAGAGGAAGAGCGUCUCCGUCCUAAGGAGAGCGUCGGGGGUUCGAUUCCCUCCCAGGGUACCA
rnacentral:tRNA from 1 species